UACGGGGGGGGCAAGCGUUGUUCGGAAUUACUGGGCGUAAAGGGCUCGUAGGUGGCCAACUAAGUCAGACGUGAAAUCCCUCGGCUUAACCGGGGAACUGCGUCUGAUACUGGAUGGCUGGAGUAUGGGAGAGGGAUGCGGAAUUCCAGGUGUAGCGGUGAAAUGCGUAGAUAUCUGGAGGAACACCGGUGGCGAAGGCGGCAUCCUGGACCAUUACUGACGCUGAGGAGCGAAAGCGUGGGGAGCGAACAGG
rnacentral:rRNA from 1 species